rnacentral:lncRNA from 1 species
UCCCAAAUUUUUUUAGCUGAAUUAUAAGUAAAAAUAUGAUUAAAUUUAUUUACAUCUAAGGCAUAAUACAAGACAUUCAUGACUUUAGUAUUGAGCUAGACCAUUUUCUUGUCAAACUCAUCGCAUUCACCUUUCAACUUAGGGAGAGACAAACCAUCAAUUAACUUAGUGGGUGUAUGAGAUCCAUUCACUAUGAUACUCCAUAUAUCAUAGUCAAGUACUUAAAUAAAUAUUCUCAUUCGAGCUUUCCAAUAGAUAUAGUUUGAUCCAUUGAAAAGUAGAGGUCAGUUGGUAGAUUGCCUUUUGAUUAGAGAUGUGCCAAAUUGGGCUGCCAU